UACGGGGGAUGCGAGCGUUGUCCGGAAUCAUUGGGCGUAAAGAGUUCGUAGGUUGCACGUUAAGUCUGGUGUUAAAUGCAGAAGCUCAACUUCUGUUUGGCACUGGAUACUGGCGAGCUUGAAUGCGGUAGAGGUAAAGGGAAUUCCUGGUGUAGCGGUGAAAUGCGUAGAUAUCAGGAGGAACAUCGGUGGCGAAAGCGCUUUACUGGGCCGUAAUUGACACUGAGGAACGAAAGCCAGGGUAGCAAAU
rnacentral:rRNA from 1 species